GAGAGUGCAGGCGGUUUUCUAAGUCUGAUGUGAAAGCCUUCGGCUUAACCGGACGAAGUGCAUCGGAAACUGGAUAACUUGAGUGCAGAAGAGGGUAGUGGAACGUCCAUGUGUAGCGGUGGAAUAGCGUAGAUAUAUGGAAGAACACCAGUGGCGAAGGCGGCUACCUGGUCUGCAACUGACGCUGAGACUCGAAAGCAUGGGUAGCGAACAGGAUUAGAUACCCUGGUAG
rnacentral:rRNA from 1 species